rnacentral:rRNA from 1 species
UGCAGUCGAGCGGAGAGAGGUAGCUUGCUACUGAUCUUAGCGGCGGACGGGUGAGUAAUGCUUAGGAAUCUGCCUAUUAGUGGGGGACAACAUUUCGAAAGGAAUGCUAAUACCGCAUACGUCCUACGGGAGAAAGCAGGGGAUCUUCGGACCUUGCGCUAAUAGAUGAGCCUAAGUCGGAUUAGCUAGUUGGUGGGGUAAAGGCCUACCAAGGCGACGAUCUGUAGCGGGUCUGAGAGGAUGAUCCGCCACACUGGGACUGAGACACGGCCCAGACUCCUACGGGAGGCAGCAGUGGGGAAUAUUGGACAAUGGGCGCAAGCCUGAUCCAGCCAUGCCGCGUGUGUGAAGAAGGCCUUAUGGUUGUAAAGCACUUUAAGCGAGGAGGAGGCUACUUUAGUUAAUACCUAGAGAUAGUGGACGUUACUCGCAGAAUAAGCACCGGCUAACUCUGUGCCAGCAGCCGCGGUAAUACAGAGGGUGCAAGCGUUAAUCGGAUUUACUGGGCGUAAAGCGCGCGUAGGCGGCUAAUUAAGUCAAAUGUGAAAUCCCCGAGCUUAACUUGGGAAUUGCAUUCGAUACUGGUUAGCUAGAGUGUGGGAGAGGAUGGUAGAAUUCCAGGUGUAGCGGUGAAAUGCGUAGAGAUCUGGAGGAAUACCGAUGGCGAAGGCAGCCAUCUGGCCUAACACUGACGCUGAGGUGCGAAAGCAUGGGGAGCAAACAGGAUUAGAUACCCUGGUAGUCCAUGCCGUAAACGAUGUCUACUAGCCGUUGGGGCCUUUGAGGCUUUAGUGGCGCAGCUAACGCGAUAAGUAGACCGCCUGGGGAGUACGGUCGCAAGACUAAAACUCAAAUGAAUUGACGGGGGCCCGCACAAGCGGUGGAGCAUGUGGUUUAAUUCGAUGCAACGCGAAGAACCUUACCUGGCCUUGACAUAGUAAGAACUUUCCAGAGAUGGAUUGGUGCCUUCGGGAACUUACAUACAGGUGCUGCAUGGCUGUCGUCAGCUCGUGUCCUGAGAUGUU